rnacentral:rRNA from 1 species
UACAGAGGGUGCGAGCGUUAAUCGGAAUUACUGGGCGUAAAGGGCGCGUAGGCGGAUUAUUAAGUUAGAUGUGAAAUCCCUGGGCUUAACCUAGGAACUGCAUCUAAUACUGGUAGACUAGAGUGCGGUAGAGGAUAGUGGAAUUUCCGGUGUAGCGGUGAAAUGCGUAGAUAUCGGAAGGAACACCAGUGGCGAAGGCGGCUAUCUGGACUGACACUGACGCUGAGGCGCGAGAGCGUGGGGAGCAAACAGG